rnacentral:rRNA from 1 species
GCUGGCGGCGUGGAUAAGACAUGCAAGUCGAACGAGACUUUCCGUUGUAGCAAUACGAUGGAAAGUUUAGUGGCGAACGGGUGCUUAACACGUGGGCAACCUGCCAUGAAGUGGGGGAUAGCUCGCCGAAAGGCGAAUUAAUACCGCAUGUGAUUAGAGAGGACAUCCUUUCGAAAUUAAAGUCGGGGCAACCUGACGCUUCUUGUGGGGCCCGCGGCCUAUCAGCUAGUUGGUGAGGUAACGGCUCACCAAGGCUUUGACGGGUAGCUGGUCUGAGAGGACGACCAGCCACACUGGGACUGAGACACGGCCCAGACACCUACGGGUGGCAGCAGUCGAGAAUUUUUGACAAUGGGGGAAACCCUGAUCGAGCGACGCCGCGUGGAGGAUGAAGGUCUUCGGAUUGUAAACUCCUGUCAUUUGGGAACAAGGUGCACACGUUAACUGCGUGCGUAUUGAUAGUACCAGAAGAGGAAGGGACGGCUAACUCUGUGCCAGCAGCCGCGGUAAUACAGAGGUCUCAAGCGUUGUUCGGAUUCAUUGGGCGUAAAGGGUGCGUAGGCGGCGCGGUAAGUCGGGUGUGAAAUCUCGGAGCUUAACUCCGAA